UUUUUGGUGACCGAAGAUAGGUGAUAAACUUUUAAUUUAUUUAUGAGCAUGCUCCCUUGCGU
rnacentral:tRNA from 1 species